rnacentral:rRNA from 1 species
GACGUAGGGGGCCAGCGUUGUUCGGAAUUACUGGGUGUAAAGGGCGCGUAGGCGGUCGUGACAAGUCACUUGUGAAAUCUCCGGGCUUAACUCGGAACGGUCAAGUGAUACUGUCGGACUAGAGUACAGAAGGGGCAACUGGAAUUCUCGGUGUAGCGGUGAAAUGCGUAGAUAUCGAGAGGAACACCUGCGGCGAAGGCGGGUUGCUGGGCUGAUACUGACGCUGAGGCGCGAAAGCCAGGGGAGCGAACGGG